rnacentral:lncRNA from 1 species
CUGACCCAAACGAACCUUCCAAUGUCGCUCAAGCAAUUGUUUCAUGGGGUUUGGAUUAUGUAGUCAUUACCAGUGUUGAUCGAGAUGACCUGGCUGAUCAAGGAAGCAGCCAUUUUUCAGAAACAGUACAGAGACUUAAGGCCCUUAAACCAAGCAUGCUGAUAGAAGCACUGGGUAUGACCAUUUAAUGUUUAUGUUUUUAUUUCAUUUUAAUUAUUGCCUUAUUGGUCAUUUGAUCUUAUGUUAACUUCAAUUCUUUUCUAAGUUUAAUUUAAAUACUCAGCCAUUCAGGUAAAAAUAAAAUAAUGUCAUGGUUGUUCUCAUGAUUGCGACAAGUCCAUUCUACUUAAUUAAAUAUCCAAACAUAAAUAUAAUGUUAACUAUUAUUCUUUCAGAUUAAGUUGGUACAUACACUGGUUUGUCUACUUUCCCACCGUCUUAUAUUGCUUAAUCAGUCAUCGUAUUCUUAAUUUGUAAUAAUAAAAUCAUCAAAUUGCAUAUAAUUGAAGCAUAUUUGUUUAAGCACUCUCACUGUUUAAUAUUAUAUCUUCUAAGAAGAAUUCCAAGUUACUUACCGUCAAUAGUUUUAUCAAUGUUCAGGAAAAAAGUAUCGUAUUUAGAGAUUAGUCAUGUUUAGAAGCUAGAAAAAUUGACGGCACUGCUAAUAGCGAUUAGCGUCUGCUAUUCCUGAAUAUCAAAUG